GGCUCCGCUCCGUGGCCUGGGGGACAGACCGCCAGGGUGCGACGGCGGGGAACCCCGGUUCGAGACCGGCUGGAUCCGUCCGUCCCCGACGCGCCGGCCCCGCGUCCACGACCCCACCAGAGGCCGAGACCCAGCCGCGGUGCCCGGACCCCAGAUACGGAGGGGAGCCUUU
rnacentral:ncRNA from 1 species